UAUGGUACUUGUGGGAAAGCAGCCGCGGUAAUACGGAGGAUCCGAGCGUUAUCCGGAUUUAUUGGGUUUAAAGGGAGCGUAGGUGGAUUGUUAAGUCAGUUGUGAAAGUUUGCGGCUCAACCGUAAAAUUGCAGUUGAAACUGGCAGUCUUGAGUACAGUAGAGGUGGGCGGAAUUCGUGGUGUAGCGGUGAAAUGCUUAGAUAUCACGAAGAACUCCGAUUGCGAAGGCAGCUCACUAGACUGUCACUGACACUGAUGCUCGAAAGUGUGGGUAUCAAACAGG
rnacentral:rRNA from 1 species